rnacentral:rRNA from 1 species
UAGGGAAUCUUCCGCAAUGGGCGAAAGCUUGACGGAGCAACGCCGCGUGAGUGAUGAAGGUCUUCGGAUCGUAAAACUCUGUUAUUAGGGAAGAACAAAUGUGUAAGUAACUAUGCACGUCUUGACGGUACCUAAUCAGAAAGCCACGGCUAACUACGUGCCAGCAGCCGCGGUAAUACGUAGGUGGCAAGCGUUAUCCGGAAUUAUUGGGCGUAAAGCGCGCGUAGGCGGUUUUUUAAGUCUGAUGUGAAAGCCCACGGCUCAACCGUGAAGGGUCAUUGGAAACUGGAAAACUUGAGUGCAGCAGAGGAAAGUGGAAUUCCAUGUGUAGCGGUGACAUGCGCAGAGAUAUGGAGGAACGCCAGUGGCGAAGGCGACUUUCUAGUCUGUAACUGACGCUGAUGUGCGAAAGCGUGGGGAUCAAACAGG